rnacentral:rRNA from 1 species
AGUGAACGCUGGCGGUAGGCCUAACACAUGCAAGUCGAACGGCAGCACAGUAAGAGCUUGCUCUUACGGGUGGCGAGUGGCGGACGGGUGAGGAAUACAUCGGAAUCUACUUUUUCGUGGGGGAUAACGUAGGGAAACUUACGCUAAUACCGCAUACGACCUACGGGUGAAAGCAGGGGAUCUUCGGACCUUGCGCGAUUGAAUGAGCCGAUGUCGGAUUAGCUAGUUGGCGGGGGAAAGGCCCACCACGGCGACGAUCCGUAGCUGGUCUGACAGGAUGAUCAGCCACACUGGAACUGAGACACGGUCCAGACUCCUACGGGAGGCAGCAGUGGGGAAUAUUGGACAAUGGGCGCAAGCCUGAUCCAGCCAUACCGCGUGGGUGAAGAAGGCCUUCGGGUUGUAAAGCCCUUUUGUUGGGAAAGAAAAGCAGCAGGUUAAUACCCCGCUGUUCUGACGGUACCCAAAGAAUAAGCACCGGCUAACUUCGUG